rnacentral:rRNA from 1 species
GAUGAACGCUGGCGGCGUGCUUAACACAUGCAAGUCGAACGAAGCACUUUAUUUGAUUUCCUUCGGGACUGAUUAUUUUGUGACUGAGUGGCGGACGGGUGAGUAACGCGUGGGUAACCUGCCUUGUACAGGGGGAUAACAGUUGGAAACGGCUGCUAAUACCGCAUAAGCGCACAGCAUCGCAUGAUGCAGUGUGAAAAACUCCGGUGGUAUAAGAUGGACCCGCGUUGGAUUAGCUAGUUGGUGAGGUAACGGCCCACCAAGGCGACGAUCCAUAGCCGACCUGAGAGGGUGACCGGCCACAUUGGGACUGAGACACGGCCCAAACUCCUACGGGAGGCAGCAGUGGGGAAUAUUGCACAAUGGGCGAAAGCCUGAUGCAGCGACGCCGCGUGAGCGAAGAAGUAUUUCGGUAUGUAAAGCUCUAUCAGCAGGGAAGAUAAUGACG